rnacentral:rRNA from 1 species
CCUACGGGAGGCAGCAGUGAGGAAUAUUGGUCCAUGGACGGAAGUCUGAACCAGCCAUGCCGCGUGCAGGAAGACGGCUCUAUGAGUUGUAAACUGCUUUUGUACAAGGGUAAACCUGAAUACGUGUAUUCUGCUGAAAGUACUGUACGAAUAAGGAUCGGCUAACUCCGUGCCAGCAGCCGCGGUAAUACGGAGGAUCCAAGCGUUAUCCGGAUUUAUUGGGUUUAAAGGGUGCGUAGGCGGAUUGAUAAGUUAGAGGUGAAAUGUCCGAGCUUAACUCGGGAACUGCCUCUAAUACUGUUGAUCUAGAGAGUAGAUGCGGUAGGCGGAAUGUAUGGUGUAGCGGUGAAAUGCUUAGAGAUCAUACAGAACACCGAUUGCGAAGGCAGCUUACCAAUCUAUAUCUGACGUUGAGGCACGAAAGCGUGGGGAGCAAACAGGAUUAGAUACCCCAGUAGUC